rnacentral:rRNA from 1 species
AUUGAACGCUGGCGGCAGGCCUAACACAUGCAAGUCGAGCGAGCGGCGGACGGGUGAGUAAUGUCUGGGAAACUGCCUGAUGGAGGGGGAUAACUACUGGAAACGGUAGCUAAUACCGCAUACUAUCAGAUGUGCCCAGAUGGGAUUAGCUAGUAGGUGUGGUAAUGGCUCACCUAGGCGACGCUCCCUAGCUGGUCUGAGAGGAUGACCAGCCACACGGGAACUUAGACACGGUCCAGACUCCGACGGGAGGCAGCAGUGGGGAAUAUUGCAAAAUGGGCGCAAGCCUGAUGCAGCCAUGCCGCGUGUGUGAAGAAGGCCUUAGGGUUGUAAAGCGCUUUCAGCGGGGAGGCGUUACCCGCAGAAGAAGCACCGGCUAACUCCGUGCCAGCAGCCGCGGUAAUAC